UUUUUCUCUCUCGCUUUUUAUGGCGCAGACCAUUUGGUCCAUAUCAGCCAAGUCUUGCUUAUACGUUAAUUGACGUUUGAUUAUUUGUCAAAUGAAAAUGAAUUCGUUCACGCUCUUUGCUUGAAACGUCAAUUUUGUCGUGUGAGGUAUUAUGUUGAUGAAAUAAUCUGAUCUAGAUGAGUGUAAUAUUGUCAAAUGUUGACUUUAGUUUCUUUUAUGAAAUCUACUAUUUGUUUUAUCUCGUUAAUUGUGUUUUUAGUAAGGAUGACUCUUAUAUCAAUUUUGUUUUGAAUCAGCGGGUAUUUUUUUCUAAUUUUAUCAUAUUUGUGACAAUGAUAUAAUAUAUGCGUUAUAUUUUCAGUAAUGUUGCAUGAGUCGCAUUUGUCGUUUGGUAUUAAACCCCAUUUGUAUAGUUUAUCUUUAGUUGCUGUAUGGCCUGAUCGGAGUCUGGUGACAGUGAUUAUAUCGUUAGAUGGCAAGUCUAUUUUAUAAAACCACGGUUUGAGCUUUAGUUCUUGUAAUAUUUCAUAGUGUAUUGCUGUUAUUUCUGCGUUCAUAAUGGUGAAUUGUGAUUUGAGUCGACCGCUGUAAGAUGUUUUUUCUGGAGAGAUGUAUAAACCAUAUCCGGCUUUACCAUCAAUCUUGGAGCCAUCUGUGAAAAUUUUAUAUUUGUCUGUGUAUUUACUGUUAAUUAGGUUAAUCACCAUUUGUUUUUGAACACUAAUAGGCGUGUUUGUUUUGGAGAGACCUUCGAUUUCUGAUACUACCUUUAUUUUGUUGGGUUUGUCAAUUUUUACUCUUUUUCCUAAUUGUAACAAAUGAUAGUUAUUUAUACUUGCUAUUUUCUCUAAAAAUGAACUCUUUUUGUUAAUUGUUUCUGAUUGUAUGGCUCUUGAUAGAAAGGGUAUUAAUGGGCUAUUUUGAUAGUGUAAUAAUUUAGUUAUUUCUUUAAAUGCGAGGUAUUCUGCUCCUUCCUUUAAUGGUAAUUCUCCUGCUUCCGCUAGUACAACGUGAUUUGGUGUGGAUCUUAAUAAGCGUAGAGAUGUUCUGAUAAAAGAAUGUUGUGUUGUUUCUAGUUUGGCAAAUGUUGUUUUUGCUGCUGCAGCUACUAUUGUUAUUCCGUAGUCUAAGUGGGGCUGUACUAUCGCUUUGGAAAUUUUUAGCAUAGUUUGUGGAUGUGCUCCAUUAGUUUUUCUACCGAUCAUUUUUAGGAUAUUGAUUUUUUUAUUGGCUUUGGCUGAUGCUAUUUCUAUUUGUUUUGUGUACUUUAAUCUGUAAUCUAUAUAUAAACCAAGAAAUUUAUGAAAAGCUUUAUUUUCUAUCGGAAUACCAUUUAGUGAAAUACUUGUGGUUGGGUGAAAUUUGUUUGUAAAAACCAUUGUGGCACAUUUAUCUGGAUUUAUUUCCAUGUUAAGUUUUUUGCAGAUCUCUGAUAUUUCAGAUAGGAAUAUAUUCGUUUCAACUGUUGCUGAUUGUAAGUUUUCUGCCUCAACCAAUGCCGUGAAGUCAUCAGCGAAUUGAAUUAAAACUUUUUUUCCAUUUGUUUUAGAAUGAAUUUGCAUUGUAUAAAUAUUGAAAAGAGUUGGGGAUAACGGACAGCCUUGGGGUAAACCUUUAUUUGUAGUUCGCCUGAUUAUCGUGCCAUCAUUCAUUGUAAGAAUUAUAGUGCGUUCUUUAAGAUAGUAAUAAAUCCAAUUUAUUAAAGCUGGUGGUACAUUUGUUUCUUCGAGUAUCCUCAUUAACGUGUCAAUGUUUACAUUAUCGAAGGCUUUGGAUAGAUCCAGAAAUGUGGCUAAUAUGACUUUUCCUUCUCUUUUAGAUUGGUGAAUGUGGGAGAUAAGUGUAUUAAUGCAAUUAAUAGCGGAUGUAUUUUUUCUAAAACCGUAGGAAUAUUUUGUUUUAGGAAAACUGCUAGCAUAGAUAUCGGACGGUAUGAGCUUGAGUAAUUUGGAUUUUUUGUUGGUUUUAGUAUCGGUACUAAUCUGAUGGCUCUCCAUUCAUCGGGAAUCUCUCCAUUAUUUGCAACUAACUCGAGAAUUUCUAAAAUUUUUAUUAACAUUUUGAAAUUUAUAUUUUUGAGAAUAUAGAAGGAUAUAUUAUCUUGACCUGGUGUAGAAGUAUCUUUUUUUGAUUUUAUGAGUUUCAGUAUAUGAUUAUGGUCGAAGUCAAUGGUUUCAGUUGUUCGUUUAGGGGUGUAGUUUAUUUUUUCAAGGGUGUUUGGAAAAUUAUUAUUGAUGAACUCGAGAGCUAUUUUACUAUCAUUUAAUAAGUGUAAAUUAUUUUUUGAAGGAAGCCCACCGCCUAGUUUUCUAACAGUAUUCCAUAGUUGAUGUUGGGACAUCUCUGGGCAUAUAGAAUUCACAAGUUUAUUCCAACUAUUCUUGGAUUCUUUACGGAUCAUUUGUUUUAAUUUUGCUUUAGACUUUUUGAACUGUAUGUAAUUCUCAUAAGUCUGAUUUCUGAAAUAUUGUGUAAGAUGUUUAUUUUUUUGUUUCCAUUGUUGAUUUAUUUCUUGGUUCCACCAUGGUUUUGGAAUGUUUUUUAAGUUGUUUUUGAUAUAUUUCGCUUGGUUGAUUUUGUCUUCAAUAAAAUAUGUUAAAUCGUAUUGAUUAUUUAUUGUUCGUGUUGAUAUUUUAUUUAUUCCUUCUAUUGCUUUUUCUUUGUUGAUAAAUUCUAUUUUACUCAAAUAUGUUUGUAUUGUGUUUCUUAUUUCAAAUUUUAUUAUUGUGUGGUUACUAAAAAUUUCUUCGUCUAUGGAUCUCCAAUCUAUUUUUGUGGAUAUAUUAGAUGAUGCUAAUGUUAGGUCUAUGGCUGAUGGUAAUGUAUCGGGGGGGUUUGAUUAAAGUUGGGGAACCGUCGUUUAGAAUAACUAAAUCUGUUUUCUCAAGUAAGUUUGCCAAUAGCUCUCCUCUAGGGCAGUUAGGGUGUUUUGUAUUCCAUAUGCGGUUAUGCGCAUUGAAAUCUCCUGCAAUAAUUGUUUGUAAGUUUGUUUUGUCUAUUUCAUCUAGUAGUUUUAUGAGAGGUUCUUUAAUAUCUUGAUUUCUAAUAGGUAGAGGUGGUAUGUAUAUAGAUAUUAUUAGAAGUUCUGGUUGGGUGUUCAGGGUUUUUAUUGCUAUUGCUUCUAACGGACUUGUUAAUGGUAGUUUGAAUUCUUGAAAUCUUAUUUCGUUUCUUACUAGAAUACCGACUCCGCCGUAACCUGUUGUUCUAGUUGACUUUAUGAGUUUAUAUUCAGGGAAUUUGAAGUUUUCAUUUGGUUUUAACCAUAUUUCUUGAAGGAUUGCUAUGUCUAUAUUAUUUGUUUGGAGGAAGUUAUUUAAUGUUUUUCGAGUAUCAGGUGGUCUAAUGCUAGUUAUAUUGUGUUGAAUGAAAUUUAGGUUCCUGAGCUUGUCCAUGGAAUUACUGGGUUUGGUUUAUUUUUGCUAAUUUUUUGUAUUUCAACUUCCUGUUCGAUUAUUGUUUUGAUUUGAUCGCUAAUGUUAAUCAGUAGGAUAUCUGUGUCAAUUGAGUCCUUUCUGUUUUUAUGUUGUUCUGAAUGUUUGAUUAUAGUAUUCUGAAUGACUUUCAUUUUGGUAAAAAUGGAUUCAAGGUUUAUUUGUUUUAGGAUUUGUUGUUUUACGUUUUCGAUCAAUUCUUUGUUUUCUUUAGGUGUUGGGCCAUUUUGUGGAAGGGGUGGAUAUUGUUCCAAUGAGUCUAGUCUAUGUUGAACUGAAUUAUUUUUUGGAUAGCGUAUGGCGGCUUCUUGGAAGGUUAGUUUUUCUGUUGCAUUAAAUAUCGUAUCUUGUCUUGCCUGAUUCUUUCUGGACAAUUUUUGUCUGUUACUUUAUGAUCUCCGUUGCAUUGGAUACAUUUUAGGGGAGCAUUACAAGUUAUGCCAUCGUGUUCUAAAGAGCAUGUAAAACAACGUUGUGUGCUACUUUUACACACUUUUAUUUUGUGUCCGUAUCUACCACAUUUACUGCACAGUUUGAUAGGAAAUAUAUAAAAGUCGACCUUAGCGUGUACUCCAUAAAUAGAAAUGCGUUCCGGGAGUUCAGAGCCCUCUACAUAAAUUUUAAUGGUAUAUGUGGGUAUUAAAUUGUUUUUCUCCAUCCUUUGGAUACGCUCAAUUUUAGUUAUUGUUUUAUUAUCUGCUUUAAUGUUUUUUAGUAUUUCUUCAUCUGUCAAUGUGGGUGGAAUGUUUCUUACUACUCCUAUUGUUUGUUUGAACAUGUUAGGGAUAUAUACUUUAUAUUUAAAUUCGUCUGUGAGAAGUUUGGAGUUAAUCAACCCCUCUGCUUCUCUGGGCCGGUUAAAAGAGAUUCUGAAUCGACCUUGGCCCGCUGUUUUGAGUUCUUUGUACUGUUUGACACCAAUAUUAUGGAGAAUUUUAGCUUUUUCCAUGGGGUGUAUUGUUUUUUGUUCUUUGUUUUGUUUUUCUAUGAAGAAGAUUGUAUUAAUUGUAUUUUUUAUCCAAUUUUCUGCGCAUGCAUCUUUUUGGUUUUUUUUAACUUUAGGUUUUUUAUUAUCGAUUUUAUUGUCAUUGUUGGUCACACUUACCGUACUCAUCGGAUUUACAGUAUCUUCGUCCAUUGAGUCGUCAAUGUUAGUUUCUAUCGGUUGUGGUUUUGUUUUUUUCUUUUGUACCUUGUGUAUUGUCUUUUCUCUUCAAUGUCAUGUCUUUGGGUUUUUUACCGUGCUUUUUACCGUCUUCGUUAUCUUCACUGUCCUCCAGUUUUCUCCUUUGGCCACUUCUUUCAUCUUCUAUCGGAAUUUGAAAGGGAUUCGACUCCAUUCUUAGAAAUCGAGCUUCAUCGAAUCCGUGGAAAUUCUUUUCAUCGCUACUCAUGCAACUUUAUCCUUUUUUGCAAAAAUAGUAUUUUCUGUUUCAACUGAUAAUUAUUUCAAUUCUACUAAUGUAAAACCAGUAUAAUUAUUUCAUCAACACUUCACUUCCUUCACACUGACUUGGACUUUCCAAGCAAAACUUUCCAACGAAAGGAGAAAAAAAUUUCGCGGUCGCGUUACAAAAUGCAAGACUUAGCUUGGAUCCGAUGCGUCUGCUUUGUUAGUUGGCGCGAGAAUGAUAUUUGUAGUUG